GACUUAUGACUUGUUUAUGACUAUACUGUGUAAAGUUUUUAUUUUUUUUAACAUAACAAUGGAUAUUGUAUCCAAACUAGCUUUUGUCAUGUUUGCUCUCACAGAAUUCUGUUGGUGUCAAACACUGAGCGAGUCUGAUGCAGUGGUCAUUAAACCUGGAGGAUCUCACAGACUUACCUGUACAAUCUCUGGAUUCGGUGGUAACUAUGCCAUGUCAUGGAUCAGACAGACUGCAGGAGGAGGUCUGGAGUGGCUGGCAUACAUCUCAUCUGGCAGUGGUUCUAUAUACUACUCUCAGGCGGUUCAGAGGCGCUUCACCAUCUCCAGAGAUAACAGCAAGAACCAGAUGUAUCUGCAGAUGAAUAAUAUGAAGAUUGAAGACACUGCUGUAUAUUAUUGUGCAAGAGUGUCACAGUGA